CCUCCUUUCUUCCUCCUUGUUUCCUCUUUUGCCCUUUAGUCAACUCUUACCCAGCAAUGCCGCGUGAAUGAAGAAGGUCUUCGGAUUGUAAAGUUCUUUAAUUGGGGACGAAAAAAAUGACGGUACCCAAGGAAUAAGCCCCGGCUAACUACGUGCCAGCAGCCGCGGUAAUACGUAGGGGGCAAGCGUUGUUCGGAAUGACUGGGCGUAAAGGGUGUGUAGGCGGUGUAGCAAGUUAGAAGUGAAAUACCUAGAGCUUAACUCAGGUGCUGCUUCUAAAACUGCUAUACUUGAGUGCAGUAGAGGAAAGUAGAAUUCCUAGGGUAGCGGUGGAAGGCGUAGAUAUUAGGAGGAACAUCAGUGGCGAAGGCGACUUUCUGGACUGUAACUGACGCUGAGGCACGAAAGUGUGGGGAGCAAACAGGAUUAGAUACCCUUGUAGUC
rnacentral:rRNA from 1 species